AUUGAACGCUGGCGGCAGGCCUAACACAUGCAAGUCGAGCGGCAGCGGGAAAGUAGCUUGCUACUUUUGCCGGCGAGCGGCGGACGGGUGAGUAAUGCCUGGGAAAUUGCCCAGUCGAGGGGGAUAACAGUUGGGAACGACUGCUAAUACCGCAUACGCCCUACGGGGGAAAGCAGGGGACCUUCGGGCCUUGCGCGAUUGGAUAUGCCCAGGUGGGAUUAGCUAGUUGGUGAGGUAAUGGCUCACCAAGGCGACGAUCCCUAGCUCGUCUGAGAGGAUGAUCAGCCACACUGGAACUGAGACACGGUCCAGACUCCUACGGGAGGCAGCAGUGGGGAAUAUUGCACAAUGGGGGAAACCCUGAUGCAGCCAUGCCGCGUGUGUGAAGAAGGCCUUCGGGUUGUAAAGCACUUUCAGCGAGGAGGAAAGGUUGAUGCCUAAUACGUAUCAACUGUGACGUUACUCGCAGAAGAAGCACCGGCUAACUCCGUGCCAGCCGCCGCCGUAAAAC
rnacentral:rRNA from 1 species